UUGCUAGAAAUGGUCUCCCAAGAA
rnacentral:siRNA from 1 species